UCCUACGGGAGGCAGCAGUGGGGAAUAUUGCACAAUGGGCGAAAGCCUGAUGCAGCAACGCCGCGUGAGGGACGACGGCCUUCGGGUUGUAAACCUCUUUUAGCAGGGAAGAAGCGAAAGUGACGGUACCUGCAGAAAAAGCACCGGCUAACUACGUGCCAGCAGCCGCGGUAAUACGUAGGGUGCAAGCGUUAUCCGGAAUUAUUGGGCGUAAAGAGCUCGUAGGCGGUUGGUCGCGUCUGCUGUGAAAUCCCGAGGCUCAACCUCGGGUCUGCAGUGGGUACGGGCCAGCUAGAGUGCGGUAGGGGAGAAUGGAAUUCCUGGUGUAGCGG
rnacentral:rRNA from 1 species